rnacentral:rRNA from 1 species
UACGAAGGGGGCUAGCGUUGAUCGGAAUCACUGGGCGUAAAGCGCACGUAGGCGGAUCUUUAAGUCAGGGGUGAAAUCCCAAGGCUCAACCUUGGAACUGCCUUUGAUACUGGGGAUCUCGAGUCCGGAAGAGGUGAGUGGAACUGCGAGUGUAGAGGUGAAAUUCGUAGAUAUUCGCAAGAACACCAGUGGCGAAGGCGGCUCACUGGUCCGGUACUGACGCUGAGGUGCGAAAGCGUGGGGAGCAAACAGG